rnacentral:lncRNA from 14 species
GUUUUAUCCAUUUUUGCUCUGCUUCCUGCUGUGGUGGCAAAGGGUUUGGGAAAUGAGGAAUGGCUUCCAGGUGGUGUUGAGGCAGGGAAAUGGGAGAGAAGGGAGGAAUGUGGUACUGAGUGCUCCCAGCCAGGAUCAGUGUUGGAGCCUCAGCUCAGCUGAGUUUUCCACCUGAAACUUCUGUGAUUUCAUAACUCAGUGCUCAGGAAUGAUUUCAGAUCCAGGCAGGGAGGUUUUUGGGGGCUGGAGAGCUUCACCUUCAGCCUGGCUGGACAAAGCCCAUCCUCUUCCUACUCCGUGGAUUUUAGGGAAUACCUGUGAAGCAAAGGAAGGGCAGGAGAGGGUGGGGGGAGUGGUGGUUGUGCAGCAUCCAGAGACUGUGCUGGGAUCAUCUGCUGCCUCCUUCCCUGCUCCCAGCCUGUCCCUGUGUCCAUCCCUGCUCCCCAAGCUGUCCCUGCCUCCUUCUUUGCUUUCUAACCUGUCCCUGGGUCCAUUCCUCCUCCCCAGCCUCUCCCUGCCUCCAUCCCUGCUCCCAACCUCUCCCUGCCUUCUUCUUUGCUCACCAACCUGUCCCUGGUCCCCAGUCUGUCCCUGUGUCCAUCCCUGCUCCCCAGUGUGUCCCUUCCUCCUCCUUUGCUUCCCAACCUCUCCCUGCCUCCUUCCCUGCUCCCCAUCCUGUCCCUGCCUCCAUCCCUGUUCCAACAGUGUCUGUGCCUCCAUCCCUGCUCUGCAUCUUGUCCCUGCCUCCUUCUUUGCUCCCAACCUCUCCCUGCCUCCAUCCCUGCUUGCCUGGGAUGAGAAGGAGCCUCAGGAAGCUGAGCCAAGGGGGAAUGGGGUCCCAGCCCUGCAAUGGGGUCCCAGCCCGGAAUGGGGUCCCAGCCCUGCAAUGGGGUCACAGCCCUGCAAUGGGGUCCCUUCCCAGGCAGGAGGAUUCCCCAGAGCCAGCUGGAUCGUGACCCCCUGUGCCAUCCAGCUGUGAGCACAGCUGUGGGUUGGGAACAGGGGAUUUUGGCUCCCACCCCUCAGGAAUUGGACGUUCACCGGUAACGUCAAAGCGCUG